UAGAAUUGGAUGACUUGUUAUAAUUGAUCGGAGGAGAUGUUUCUGUAGCCAAAAAAGCUUCAUGACAGUUUGGGCAAAGAAGAGUGUGGUUGAGAUAUAUCUUCAAAUAUUCAUAAUGCAUCUUGCAUCGGUGGCAAAUGGUCCAGAAAGUAUCACUUCUUUGAUUGGAUGAAGAAUUAACUGACGAAGAGGACGUUCGAGAAGCAUUUUUAUGAGUCUUUGGACCUGAAUUUGGCCUACUAGGAAAAUUAUGAAA
rnacentral:lncRNA from 1 species